rnacentral:rRNA from 1 species
AUUGAACGCUGGCGGCAGGCCUAACACAUGCAAGUCGAGCGGAUGAAGGGAGCUUGCUCCUGGAUUCAGCGGCGGACGGGUGAGUAAUGCCUAGGAAUCUGCCUGGUAGUGGGGGAUAACGUCCGGAAACGGGCGCUAAUACCGCAUACGUCCUGAGGGAGAAAGUGGGGGAUCUUCGGACCUCACGCUAUCAGAUGAGCCUAGGUCGGAUUAGCUAGUUGGUGGGGUAAAGGCCUACCAAGGCGACGAUCCGUAACUGGUCUGAGAGGAUGAUCAGUCACACUGGAACUGAGACACGGUCCAGACUCCUACGGGAGGCAGCAGUGGGGAAUAUUGGACAAUGGGCGAAAGCCUGAUCCAGCCAUGCCGCGUGUGUGAAGAAGGUCUUCGGAUU